rnacentral:rRNA from 1 species
UGGGGAAUCUUCCGCAAUGGACGAAAGUCUGACGGAGCAACGCCGCGUGAGUGAUGACGGCCUUCGGGUUGUAAAGCUCUGUUAAUCGGGACGAAUGGUUCUUGUGCGAAUAGUGCAAGGAUUUGACGGUACCGGAAUAGAAAGCCACGGCUAACUACGUGCCAGCAGCCGCGGUAAUACGUAGGUGGCAAGCGUUGUCCGGAAUUAUUGGGCGUAAAGCGCGCGCAGGCGGAUUGGUCAGUCUGUCUUAAAAGUUCGGGGCUUAAACCCGUGAUGGGAUGGAAACUGCCAAUCUAGAGUAUCGGAGAGGAAAGUGGAAUUCCUAGUGUAGCGGUGAAAUGCGUAGAUAUUAGGAAGAACACCAGUGGCGAAGGCGACUUUCUGGACGAAAACUGACGCUGAGGCGCGAAAGACAGGGGAGCGAACGGG